CCUACGGGCGGCAGCAGUGGGGAAUAUUGGACAAUGGGGGGAACCCUGAUCCAGCCAUGCCGCGUGUGUGAAGAAGGCCCUCGGGUUGUAAAGCACUUUCAGUGAGGAAGAACGCCUGGUGGUUAAUACCCAUCAGGAAAGACAUCACUCACAGAAGAAGCACCGGCUAACUCCGUGCCAGCAGCCGCGGUAAUACGGAGGGUGCGAGCGUUAAUCGGAAUUACUGGGCGUAAAGCGCGCGUAGGUGGCUUGAUAAGCCGGUUGUGAAAGCCCCGGGCUCAACCUGGGAACGGCAUCCGGAACUGUCAAGCUAGAGUGCAGGAGAGGAAGGUAGAAUUCCCGGUGUAGCGGUGAAAUGCGUAGAGAUCGGGAGGAAUACCAGUGGCGAAGGCGGCCUUCUGGACUGACACUGACACUGAGGUGCGAAAGCGUGGGUAGCAAACAGGAUUAGAUUACCCUUGUAGUC
rnacentral:rRNA from 1 species